GUUGCUGUAGUGAUGAGUUCACCUUUUGCCGUUUACCCAUCAGACAAUAAAAUGGUGAUAAUGUGACGAACUGAAACGCCAGC
rnacentral:snoRNA from 1 species